rnacentral:rRNA from 1 species
AUGGAGCUGCAGCUAGACGCCCCGCCCGCAUUGCUGCCAUCCGUCAGGGACUGGUCGGAGCUGCCACUGGAUGCGCUUACUUUGGUCUUCAAGGGGCUCGACGCCGUCGACCUUCUCAUGGGCGCUGGCCUUGUGUGCCACUCGUGGCUGGAGGCGGCCAAGGCGCCUGAGCUCUGGCGCAAGGUGGACACGGGGCGCGGGCCGCGGGACAAGGAGGUGAUGGAGAAGAAUAGAGGUGUUGAUUUGGACCAUUCAAACAGAGGCGUGGGGUUUGCCAUCCGUAUUCCCGGCAAAAACAACUUGAGCAAGAGCACACAGGUGAUGUGCGCAAUGGCGAAGGUGGCCGUCGACCGAUCCGACGGGAAGAUGGAGGUGUUUGUGGGGUCGAAUUUUGUUACCGAUGAGAUCCUCAAUUAUAUUGGAGCCAGGUCGCCCUCUCUGAAGGGGCUUGCCCUCUUAUCAUGCUACCAUGUAACCAGCCAAGGGUUCACCGAUCUGGUAAGCAAGUGCCCCCUGCUAGAAGACAUCGAGCUUUCGGGCUGUAUAGGUGUCAGCGGCGACGCAAUGGUAGCCACUGGCAGGGCAUGCCUGCGGCUGAAGCGGCUGGUGCUGGACAAAACUUGGAGGCGUAGGUGGGACAGGGGGGAGGUGGCAGGCAUCUCGAUGAUGCACGAGCUCCGGCACCUUAGCCUCUCACGCAGCGAUAUCACGAACGAGGAGCUCAUGGCCGUCGUCUACGCCUGCCCGUGCCUGGAGCAGCUCUCGGUGGCCGACUGCUACAACAUAGUCGCUGACAACGCCCUGCGAGCAAAGUGUGCCACUGUCAAGACGCUGGGGCUUCCGGCUUCACAGGAUCACCACUAUGAUUGGGAUGAGUUUUAUGCUUAUGGGUUUGGGACCGCUUCCUACCAUGGCGAUAUCGGCUAUGGCUGGAUGUCCAACGAUCGCUACGCUUCGAAUGGGCCUUACGAUUAUGAGUUUGGGACCGCUUCCUAUGACCAUGAUAUCGACUACGGUUGGAUGCCGGAUGACUAA